rnacentral:lncRNA from 1 species
UGUGUCUUCCUUUAUAAGUUUAUAUAGCAUUAUAUUUGCUUAUCUGUGUGUGUGUCGGUGUGGUGUAGGCCAUUCUCGUGGCGAGGUGUUGAGCGAAGUGGUGUGUUAGUGGAGGGUGGGUAAGUAUUGGUGAUCAAAGGACCGAGAGUUUAGGAGUUAUUAGAAGAAUGAAGUGGUGAUUGUCCCGUGUCAGAGCAGGGUGAGGAGUGUUGGUUGAGGAAAUACAGGAAUGUCGGUGAAACAAUGGCGUAUGACAUGCAUAAUUGGGGAAAGGUGUUGGUGAGCCUUUCAGGAAGGAUUGUGCGAGAGAUUCUUAAUUACACGUAAUGCCUUGUAAUGUUUGCGCUACUUUGAACACAAGUUCCUUAGUGUAGUAUCUUGUUUCAAUUAUGGUUUAAAAAACGCAGCGUGGCUUGUUAUUCAGCACCCAUGCGGGACUAAAUGGUUUUCGGGUGAGGAUGUUUAGUCACAUUCUAUGCACUGUGUGGUAGUGAUGCUUCUCGGGCUGUCAAUAUUAGUUGGACGAACAAAAUUACAUAAUCGUCUCGAUCAAGUUGAUAACGUCAGUGAUAUAAUGAAACUUCUAUUCCUACUAUUGCUGAUACGCGGACUGCUUCACUGACUACUUCAGCGAGGUGAGCACUCGGCGCGUCAAGAUCGUUUGCCAGGCUGUUUAUGUACAGGAUCCUUGUUAUGGCCUAAUGUACAAAAAAUGCAAGUAAUGAGAUUACUAACGUGACAAUUAUGGUGAGUUAAUCCUCUUGUCCAUUAUCUUUUUACAUUAAGGCCACCUCAAGAGUUCGGAAAUGACUUGAAAAUCUCCCGCAGGCUUACAGCUGGGAGAGAGUUUACUGCCGCACUCCACCGCAUUGCUGUACUUCGUGUAUCUCCCCAAUGACGUCGUUGCCUUAACAAGGAUGAAUCAUUGGAGCUGAGGGCUUUGAAGUCUGCUGUGGUCUGUUCAGCACUUGCACCUACACCGCGCGACGAGGUGGUGGUGUGACCUUGCACCAAAGGAUGUCAGGUUUUCGCGCAGCUGUCCGUCAGUGCCACGUGCUGUCUACUGAGAAUCGUCUAUACAUAUGUUUGUCGGCAUUGCGAAAGUGAAUCGUCUGCCAUAUAGCCUGGAUUUAUUCACAAUCAUUUCCCUUGGAUGGCACUCUGCUCACUAAAACAAUCCUGGUAACAAGAUUUCUGAACCAGUGACAUGGUGGUUUUCUAUUGCCUUAUUUCAGGAAGAUGGUUCACUGGUACAGUUGAGGCACCAUCACCUGCUAGACCCGGUCUUAAUUAACCGUGGAAAUUUAUUAGGAUAGUAAAUUGGAUUAAUUAUAAAAUUUAUUGAAUUUGGUAGUUCUAAGGUAACGCAACAGUACAUAAUGACAUAAAAGGUAUUUAAGAAAGAUGACAAUGCAUUGCACGCACACAUUACAAACAUUUUCUUUGCCUUUUGCAGACUAGGUGAGGAGAGGCGGACACUACACAUGGAAACUCGUACAGUGUAAUGCAGGCGAAUGUGUACACGAUGCGAGUCCUCGCUGCACCACAACCACCCACCAUGUUACUAACACCAUUCACAACACGGCACAAAUGUAAUUCAAUGAUCUUUAAGUUUACAUAAAGCUCAUUUCACGACUACUUACAGGUAGUGCCCCUGAACCAGCCUGCCGUAGAUGAGGUGCCAUCAUCCUUCUGCCUACCCUUCAACCUCCAGGGACCGGAGACGUCAUUCUUCUGGGGAAGGUGUCGCAUCUGUCUCGCCUCUAAAGGAUUUCUCCCUACUCUAAAAAUUGUGUACAAUUCAUUUUUUUGUCACGUUAAUGUGUAAAUUCAUUUUUUUGUCACCUUAUAAAACUAUAUAAGAUUA